rnacentral:rRNA from 1 species
GAUGAACGCUGGCGGCGUGCCUAAUACAUGCAAGUCGAGCGAACAGACGAGGAGCUUACUCCUCUGACGUUAGCGGCGGACGGGUGAGUAACACGUGGAUAACCUACCUAUAAGACUGGGAUAACUUCGGGAAACCGGAGCUAAUACCGGAUAACAUGUUGAACCGCAUGGUUCAACAGUGAAAGACGGUCUUGCUGUCACUUAUAGAUGGAUCCGCGUCGCAUUAGCUAGUUGGUAAGGUAACGGCUUACCAAGGCAACGAUGCGUAGCCGACCUGAGAGGGUGAUCGGCCACACUGGAACUGAGACACGGUCCAGACCCCUACGGGAGGCAGCAGUAGGGAAUCUUCCGCAAUGGGCGAAAGCCUGACGGAGCAACGCCGCGUGAGUGAAGAAGGUCUUCGGAUCGUAAAACUCUGUUAUUAGGGAAGAACAAAUGUGUAAGUAACUAUACACGUCUUGACGGUACCUAAUCAGAAAGCCACGGCUAACUACGUG